AGUGGCGAACUGGUGAGUAACACGUGGAAAACCUGCCCAGAAGCAGGGGAUAACACCUGGAAACAGAUGCUAAUACCGCAUAACAACUUGGACCGCAUGGUCCGAGUUUGAAAGAUGGCUUCGGCUAUCACUUUUGGAUGGUCCCGCGGCGUAUUAGCUAGAUGGUGGGGUAACGGCUCACCAUGGCAAUGAUACGUAGCCGACCUGAGAGGGUAAUCGGCCACAUUGGGACUGAGACACGGCCCAAACUCC
rnacentral:rRNA from 1 species